AUUGAACGCUGGCGGCAUGCUUUACACAUGCAAGUCGAACGGUAACAGGCCGCAAGGUGCUGACGAGUGGCGAACGGGUGAGUAAUGCAUCGGAACGUGCCCAGCCGUGGGGGAUAACUACUCGAAAGAGUAGCUAAUACCGCAUACGAUCUAUGGAUGAAAGCGGGGGACCGUAAGGCCUCGCGCGAUUGGAGCGGCCGAUGUCAGAUUAGGUAGUUGGUGGGGUAAAGGCUCACCAAGCCAACGAUCUGUAGCUGGUCUGAGAGGACGACCAGCCACACUGGGACUGAGACACGGCCCAGACUCCUACGGGAGGCAGCAGUGGGGAAUUCUGGACAAUGGGCGCAAGCCUGAUCCAGCAAUGCCGCGUGCAGGAAGAAGGCCUUCGGGUUGUAAACUGCUUUUGUACGGAACGAAACGGCUCUGGUUAAUACCCGGGGCUAAUGACGGUACCGUAAGAAUAAGCACCGGCUAACUACGUG
rnacentral:rRNA from 1 species